UAGGGAAUCUUCGGCAAUGGACGAAAGUCUGACCGAGCAACGCCGCGUGAGUGAAGAAGGUUUUCGGAUCGUAAAACUCUGUUGUUAGAGAAGAACAAGGACGUUAGUAACUGAACGUCCCCUGACGGUAUCUAACCAGAAAGCCACGGCUAACUACGUGCCAGCAGCCGCGGUAAUACGUAGGUGGCAAGCGUUGUCCGGAUUUAUUGGGCGUAAAGCGAGCGCAGGCGGUUUCUUAAGUCUGAUGUGAAAGCCCCCGGCUCAACCGGAGAGGGUCAUUGGAAACUGGGAGACUUGAGUGCAGAAGAGGAGAGUGGAAUUCAAUGUGUAGCGGUGAAAUGCGUAGAUAUAUGGAGGAACACCAGUGGCGAAGGCGGCUCUCUGGUCUGUAACUGACGCUGAGGCUCGAAAGCGUGGGGAGCAAACAGG
rnacentral:rRNA from 1 species